rnacentral:rRNA from 1 species
GACGAACGCUGGCGGCGUGCUUAACACAUGCAAGUCGAGCGGGAAACUUCGGUUUCCAGCGGCGGACGGGUGAGUAACACGUGGGCAACCUGCCUCACAAUGAGGGAUAGCCUUCCGAAAGGAAGAUUAAUACCUCAUAACACAAGAGAAACGCAUGUUUCUUUUGCCAAAGAAUUUCGUUGUGAGAUGGGCCCGCGGCGCAUUAGCUUGUUGGUGAGGUAACGGCUCACCAAGGCUUCGAUGCGUAGCCGACCUGAGAGGGUGAUCGGCCACAUUGGAACUGAGACACGGUCCAGACUCCUACGGGAGGCAGCAGUGGGGAAUAUUGCACAAUGGAGGAAACUCUGAUGCAGCAACGCCGCGUGAGUGAUGAAGGUCUUCGGAUUGUAAAGCUCUGUCUUCUGGGACGAUAAUGACGGUACCAGGGGAGGAAGCCAUGGCUAACUACGUGCCAGCCGCCGCCGUAA